rnacentral:rRNA from 1 species
AGUGAACGCUGGCGGUAGGCCUAACACAUGCAAGUCGAACGGCAGCACAGGAGAGCUUGCUCUCUGGGUGGCGAGUGGCGGACGGGUGAGGAAUACAUCGGAAUCUACUUUUUCGUGGGGGAUAACGUAGGGAAACUUACGCUAAUACCGCAUACGACCUACGGGUGAAAGCAGGGGACCUUCGGGCCUUGCGCGAUUGAAUGAGCCGAUGUCGGAUUAGCUAGUUGGCGGGGUAAAGGCCCACCAAGGCGACGAUCCGUAGCUGGUCUGAGAGGAUGAUCAGCCACACUGGAGAUGAGACACGGUCCAGACGCCGACGGGAGGCAGCAGUGGGGAAUAGUGGACAAUGGGCGCAAGCCUGAUCCAGCCAUACCGCGUGGGUGAAGAAGGCCUUCGGGUUGUAAAGCCCUUUUGUUGGGAAAGAAAUCCAGCUGGCUAAUACCCGGUUGGGAUGACGGUACCCAAAGAAUAAGCACCGGCUAACUUCGUGCCAGCCGCCGCGGUAA